GAUGAACGCUGGCGGCGUGCCUAAUACAUGCAAGUCGAGCGAACGGACGAGAAGCUUGCUUCUCUGAUGUUAGCGGCGGACGGGUGAGUAACACGUGGAUAACCUACCUAUAAGACUGGGAUAACUUCGGGAAACCGUAGCUUAUACCGGAUAAUAUUUUGAACCGCAUGGUUCAAAAGUGAAAGACGGCCUUGCUGUCACUUAUAGAUGGAUCCGCGCUGCAUUAGCUAGUUGGUAAGGUAACGGCUUACCAAGGCAACGAUGCAUAGCCGACCUGAGAGGGUGAUCGGCCACACUGGAACUGAGACGCGGUCCAGACUCCUACGGGAGGCAGCAGUAGGGAAUGUGCCGCAAUGGGCGAAAGCCUGACGGAGCAACGCCGCGUGAGUGAUGGAGGUCUUCGGAUCGUAAAACUCUGUUAUUAGGGAAGAACAUAUGUGUAAGUAACUGUGCACAUCGUGACGGUACCUAAUCAGAAAGCCACGGCUAACUACGUG
rnacentral:rRNA from 1 species